rnacentral:tRNA from 1 species
UAGAAAAUAGUUUAAAAUAAAAUAAUAACAUUGGAAGUUAUUGAUCAAAUAAAAAUGAUUUGUUUUCUAA